rnacentral:lncRNA from 1 species
UUUUACUUUAAAGUGAAACGUCUGUUCAAGUGAUAAUCGUGCACAUUCUGCAUCAUCAGCAAACAUUAAAUUAUAUGUUGCAUUGCAGGUGAACAGUCAGGAAAACUCUUUGGUGUCUACACUAUAGUGAAGACUGUGGGAAUCAUACUGCUUGUGAGCACACUGGUCUUAUUUGAGUGCUGGUUUAAAUCAGGACGCUUCAACACACCAGAGACAGAAAGCGUUCACAUGAACAGAGCAGCAUCACAGUCUAAUAAUUAAAGUGUCUGCAAGAAGAGGACAAACAUCUCGGAGAUCAGCAGUGUUAACAUCUGCAUGCUGACACAAACAUCUGUAUAGUACUCAAGUAAUGUUAACAUUUGGAUGUGAACCCUUUUGUUUAAGAUAACUAACAUGUUAGGAUGCAAAUCUAUGACUGACCUUGACAUUUGCUGAUAGCUGAUAAAAAAUAAUCACUAUCUGAAGCGUUUAUCAACAAUCAGCUGUCUGCUGCACAAAAAAACCACACUGUGGUGUUACUGUGAAUUGUUUGUGCUGAAGGCACCACUCCACAUAUGAUGAAAGAUAAAGUGUCUGUUUGUGGCUGAUUUACUUCACUGGUGAAGAAGAACUGAUGAGUUAAAAACAGAACCUUACUGAGACAUUUGACCAACAGGAAGCUGCAGACACAGUUUCUAUCAGGUCAACAACAUUUCUUAAUCAUGUGGUCAGUGACUCUGUGUAUUUAUUCAUUGUUUGUGUUCAUGUUUUAAGAUAUUAUUUAUGAAGUUAGUAUAUACAAGAAAAUGUCUACAUGUAGGUCAUUUCUUUGGAUGUCAGGACUGAAUUUCCCAUAAAUAACAUUGCAUUGUAACAAGUUGAUCAGUGUCAUUCUUGUGUCUGACUGGUCCUUCAAAAUAAAGUUAUUAUAUAUAAUACAGUUCUUGUUGAAUCAGCAGAUCAAUCAAUAGAAUUGUAUAACCAAAAUAAUUACAUUAAUAUAAAGAUACAGAUACUUUAUUUAUACAAAUGCGGAAAUCUGUCUUAUUAAUGAACAUUAACGAGCGCUGGUGUUUUAGAUGCCAGAAUGAUGUUUUC